AGCCGGGGCUCUGGGGGGCUUCCCCGCCUGUCCCUCUCUAUCCCUCCUUCCCCAUCCCCUCCUCCUCUUCUCUCGCUCCCUUUACCCCAUUCCCUCGUCCCCGCAAGCCCGGCUCCUUCCUUUCCUGUCCCUAUCCCACUACUCCCUUCUAUUCCCCGUCUCUCUCUCCUCUGCCCCCCCUCCCUCUUCCCCCCUCCCGGCCUUUCCCUUCCCCUCCCGCUUUCCUCCACAGCCCGACCUCCCUCCCUGCCCUUUCUCAUCCCCUGCUAUCGCUCCUCUCUUCCCGUCCCCCUUUCCUUCUUUUCCCCCGCAGCCGCGGGGCUCGGGGUGCCGGAGAAUAAAGCCCAGAGGGCCGGAGCCCGGCGCUCCGCGGCCCCUGCAGGAGUCCCCGCACGGGGCCGGAGGCUCUCGGCGGAUCCCCCCGUGCCGGUCAAACAGCCCGCCCGACACCGCCGUACCUGCGGCUUUCCCGACAUCCCGCUGAGAGUGGGCCCCGCUCUGUGCCGUGCCUUCCCCGCCGUCUCUGUCACUCCCUCUCGCUGCCCCUCGCCCGUGACAGCGAGGCUGGGGAGGAACCUCAGGCCUGCCGGGGGCUGCCCCCCCUUUCUUGUUGCAGCAGAAUCCCGGUCUGGGGGGCUGUACAUGUGGAAAGGGCUUGAAGGAAGCGCUGCGCUGCUGUCCAGGGCAGUUGGACUCGUUCUGUGCCUUCUUCGGGGGCGAGGAAAAGGGGGUGAAGACUCGGGGCUCUGAUGCCAUUUGGGGCACCCCAAGGUCCCUGGGAGAGCGAGCCACACUGCGGUGGGGGAGCAGGUGGGUGGCGGACGAGGGGGGUCAUGCUGGGUGCCGCCCCCCAGAGGGACCCAAAGCUGCCCCAAAAUUCACAGGGAGGGGUGGGUGGAGAAUGCUAAAACCUGUCAAGUUAUUCGUUUUUAUAGGUAAUGGUAAAGAAUAGGAAUUUGUCUCUAAAUUCAUUUGGGAGAAAUCCUCUCUCUAUCCAGGAAUGUAUCUAUAUUGUCUUUUUCCACUCCAAGCUUGACUUUUCCCCUCCUUUUUCGAGGUCUGCUGCAUUGG
rnacentral:lncRNA from 1 species